rnacentral:rRNA from 1 species
GACGAACGCUGGCGGCGUGCCUAAUACAUGCAAGUCGAACGAAGCUUUUUUAACUGGUGCUUGCACCGACUUAAACAACUGAGUGGCGAACGGGUGAGUAACACGUGGGUAACCUGCCCCAAAGCGGGGGAUAACAUUUGGAAACAGAUGCUAAUACCGCAUAACCACAGAAACCACAUGGUUUCUGUGUCAAAGAUGGUUUCGGCUAUCACUUUGGGAUGGACCCGCGGGGUAUUAGCUAGUUGGUAAGGUAAUGGCUUACCAAGGCAAUGAUAAGUAGCCGAACUGAGAGGUUGAUCGGCCUCAUUGGGACUGAGACACGGCCCAAACUCCUACGGGAGGCAGCAGUAGGGAAUCUUCCACAAUGGACGAAAGUCUGAUGGAGCAACGCCGCGUGAGUGAAGAAGGUUUUCGGAUCGUAAAACUCUGUUGUCAGAGAAGAACGUGUGCGAGAGUAACUGUUCGUGCAGUGACGGUAUCUGGCCAGAAAGCCACGGCUAACUACGUGCCAGCAGCCGCCGUAA